rnacentral:tRNA from 1 species
CAGGGAGACAACAAAAUGUUUAAUAUUAUUAUUUUGUCACCUUAGGUCGAUCGGUAUCUCACAUUCUUAAUUUAUUAAGGAUUUCAUUUCCUAAGUUUUUCUAGGUCACACCCAUUAUUUUUCCUGGGCCAUUAGCUCAGGUGGUUAGAGCGCACCCCUGAUAAGGGUGAGGUCCCUGGUUCAAGUCCAGGAUGGCCCAUAUCUCUAUGUUGGGGGUAUAGCUCAGGUGGUAGAGCGCCUGCUUUGCAAGCAGGAUGUCAGCGGAUCGAGUCCGCUUACCUCCACUGAUUACCACCUCUUCCAUAAUCUUAUGAGGGAAAUGUUUUGAGUUGUGAUCAAAUUCUGAACGAUUCUAGCUUCCUAAUGAAAUCAUUAAGAUGCUGGACUCAUUGAACUAAUUUUCAUUGUUUUCAGAGAACCUUGACAACUGCAUANAUUAUUUUUUAAAGACAAUAAGCAUCUUUAAUGAUGCAGAUUUAUUAUUUGUGCGAAUGCAUUAAAUAACAAUUCUAUUAAGCUGAUGCUUCAAUUUUUGAAGUUAUU